GACGAACGCUGGCGGCGUGCUUAACACAUGCAAGUCGAACGGUGAAGCGCCUUCCUUUUUGGUGGGUGUGGAUGAGUGGCGAACGGGUGAGUAACACGUGAGUAACCUGCCCCCUUCUUCUGGAUAACCGCAUGAAAGUGUGGCUAAUACGGGAUAUUCUGGGUCUGUCGCAUGAUGGGUCUGGGAAAGAUAUUGUUUCGGUGGGGGAUGGGCUCGCGGCCUAUCAGCUUGUUGGUGGGGUGAUGGCCUACCAAGGCGGUGACGGGUAGCCGGCCUGAGAGGGUGGACGGUCACACUGGGACUGAGACACGGCCCAGACUCGUACGGGAGGCAGCAGUGGGGAAUAUUGCACAAUGGGCGCAAGCCUGAUGCAGCGACGCCGCGUGAGGGAUGGAGGCCUUCGGGUUGUGAACCUCUUUCGCCAGUGAAGCAGGCCUGCCUCGUUUGUGGGUGGGUUGACGGUAGCUGGAUAAGAAGCGCCGGCUAACUACGU
rnacentral:rRNA from 1 species